GACGAACGCUGGCGGCGUGCUUAACACAUGCAAGUCGAACGCUGAAGCACCAGCUUGCUGGUGUGGAUGAGUGGCGAACGGGUGAGUAAUACGUGAGUAACCUGCCCUUGACUCUGGGAUAAGCCCGGGAAACUGGGUCUAAUACUGGAUGCUACAUGUCACCGCAUGGUGGUGUGUGGAAAGGGUUUACUGGUCUUGGAUGGGCUCACGGCCUAUCAGCUUGUUGGUGAGGUAAUGGCUCACCAAGGCGACGACGGGUAGCCGGCCUGAGAGGGUGACCGGCCACACUGGGACUGAGACACGGCGCAGACUCCUACGGGAGGCAGCAGUGGGGAAUAUUGCACAAUGGGCGAAAGCCUGAUGCAGCGACGCCGCGUGAGGGAUGACGGCCUUCGGGUUGUAAACCUCUUUCAGCAGGGAAGAAGCCACAAGUGACGGUACCUGCAGAAGAAGCGCCGGCUAACUACGUGCCAGCAGCCGCAGUAA
rnacentral:rRNA from 1 species